GCAACCUGUAUCAACAAUGCAAGUCGAGCGGUAGCACAGAGAGCUUGCUCUCGGGUGACGAGCGGCGGACGGGUGAGUAAUGUCUGGGAAACUGCCUGAUGGAGGGGGAUAACUACUGGAAACGGUAGCUAAUACCGCAUAACGUCGCAAGACCAAAGAGGGGGACCUUCGGGCCUCUUGCCAUCAGAUGUGCCCAGAUGGGAUUAGCUAGUAGGUGGGGUAACGGCUCACCUAGGCGACGAUCCCUAGCUGGUCUGAGAGGAUGACCAGCCACACUGGAACUGAGACACGGUCCAGACUCCUACGGGAGGCAGCAGUGGGGAAUAUUGCACAAUGGGCGCAAGCCUGAUGCAGCCAUGCCGCGUGUAUGAAGAAGGCCUUCGGGUUGUAAAGUACUUUCAGCGGGGAGGAAGGUGUUGAGGUUAAUAACCUCAGCAAUUGACGUUACCCGCAGAAGAAGCACCGGCUAACUCCGUGCCAGCAGCCGCGGUAAUACGGAGGGUGCAAGCGUUAAUCGGAAUUACUGGGCGUAAAGCGCACGCAGGCGGUCUGUCAAGUCGGAUGUGAAAUCCCCGGGCUCAACCUGGGAACUGCAUUCGAAACUGGCAGGCUAGAGUCUUGUAGAGGGGGGUAGAAUUCCAGGUGUAGCGGUGAAAUGCGUAGAGAUCUGGAGGAAUACCGGUGGCGAAGGCGGCCCCCUGGACAAAGACUGACGCUCAGGUGCGAAAGCGUGGGGAGCAAACAGGAUUAGAUACCCUGGUAGUCCACGCCGUAAACGAUGUCGACUUGGAGGUUGUGCCCUUGAGGCGUGGCUUCCGGAGCUAACGCGUUAAGUCGACCGCCUGGGGAGUACGGCCGCAAGGUUAAAACUCAAAUGAAUUGACGGGGGCCCGCACAAGCGGUGGAGCAUGUGGUUUAAUUCGAUGCAACGCGAAGAACCUUACCUACUCUUGACAUCCAGAGAACUUUCCAGAGAUGGAUUGGUGCCUUCGGGAACUCUGAGACAGGUGCUGCAUGGCUGUCGUCAGCUCGUGUUGUGAAAUGUUGGGUUAAGUCCCGCAACGAGCGCAACCCUUAUCCUUUGUUGCCAGCGGUCCGGCCGGGAACUCAAAGGAGACUGCCAGUGAUAAACUGGAGGAAGGUGGGGAUGACGUCAAGUCAUCAUGGCCCUUACGAGUAGGGCUACACACGUGCUACAAUGGCGCAUACAAAGAGAAGCGACCUCGCGAGAGCAAGCGGACCUCAUAAAGUGCGUCGUAGUCCGGAUUGGAGUCUGCAACUCGACUCCAUGAAGUCGGAAUCGCUAGUAAUCGUAGAUCAGAAUGCUACGGUGAAUACGUUCCCGGGCCUUGUACACACCGCCCGUCACACCAUGGGAGUGGGUUGCAAAAGAAGUAGGUAGCUUAACCUUCGGUAGGCUGCCGCUCCCGCUGAUAU
rnacentral:rRNA from 1 species